GAAGUACAGGCCCUCUCGAGGGCUAAACUUCCACCCUUUGUUAACUAUACCUUUUGUUGCUUUGGCGGACCGCCCUAGGCCACCGGCUUCGGCUGGUGAGCGUCCGCCAGAGACCCCAAACCCAAACCCAUAUUAGUGUCGUCUGAAAACAAGUUUAAAUUAUUAAAACUUUCAACAACGGAUCUCUUGGCUCU
rnacentral:misc_RNA from 1 species